rnacentral:rRNA from 1 species
CCUACGGGUGGCAGCAGUGAGGAAUAUUGGUCAAUGGGCGCGAGCCUGAACCAGCCAAGUCGCGUGAGGGAUGAAGGUUCUAUGGAUCGUAAACCUCUUUUAUAAGGGAAUAAAGUUUGGUACGUGUCCUCUUUUGUAUGUACCUUGUAAAUAAAGAUCGGCUAACUCCGUGCCAGCAGCCGCGGUAAUACGGAGGAUCCGAGCGUUAUCCGGAUUUAUUGGGGUUAAAGGGUGCGUAGGCGGACUGUUAAGUCAGCGGUAAAAGCCCGGGGCUCAACCCCGGCGAGCCGUUGAAACUGGCUGUCUUGAGAUGGCGAGAGGUAUGCGGAAUGCGGGGUGUAGCGGUGAAAUGCAUAGAUAUUGCGCAGAACUCCGAUUGCGAAGGCAGCAUACCGGCGGCGAUCUGACGCUGAGGCACGAAAGCGUGGGUAUCGAACAGGAUUAGAUACCCGUGUAGUC